UGCCCAGCAACUCCUAUCCCUACCUCCACGCGGUACCGGCCGGAAACUAUGAGCAACCUUAGGGAAGAUCGAGUAACCAACCCCGGUGGGAGCUUUGGUCGUAGGCUGACAGGGAAGG
rnacentral:ribozyme from 1 species